rnacentral:rRNA from 1 species
UACGUAGGGGGCAAGCGUUGUCCGGAUUUAUUGGGCGUAAAGAGCGUGUAGGCGGCUUUACAGGUCCGUUGUGAAAACUCGAGGCUCAACCUCGAGACGCCGGUGGAAACCGUAAGGCUAGAGUCCGGAAGAGGAGAGUGGAAUUCCUGGUGUAGCGGUGAAAUGCGCAGAUAUCAGGGGGAACACCCGUGGCGAAAGCGGCUCUCUGGGACGGUACUGACGCUGAGACGCGAAAGCGUGGGGAGCAAACAGG